CGCAGGUGCUCUGUUUAUUGCGAUUACUGAAAGAUUAAGGAACGGCGUUCAUUAUUUUUGAGAAAUGGAGCAUUAUUCAUUAUAAGUAACAAUACGCACGUAAAGCUCGCUCACCAAAAAAUGAUAGCAAUGCAUGAAAUAGUAACGUACAGAUGGAAGCUCACUAUGCUUCACCAUUUUCAAACAUCCAUAGUAGAUUCUAAGAAUAAGUAUUAAGUAAUAUGUAACUAAUCAUAACAAAUGGUGCUGAUUCUAAGAAUAAGGGAUAAUCUUCAGAAUGAUUUUGUCGGGGUAUAACACAAAUGAUUUAUAUGAGAACAUGAAACCAACAUAAUUCAGAAAUAUAUAAAUAGCGACAGAAGGGGAAAAAAAUGAAGAUCUUAUUGGCAGUGCUCUUGGAGGAGGGAAAUCUAAGCAUCCUUUCGGAGAAGUUGGGAACUCUAGAGUCUUCUUGAAAACUUGUGCCCUUCUUCCUCCGUCCAGUAGUCACCAGGCUGUUUUGAACAUGUCUGUCUUCUUUGCCUCCGUAAGACCAUUCUCGGGUAAUAUCUUUUGUGGCCUCCUUGCAAACAUCUCACUGUUAAUUUUUCUUAAUAAAGGAGGUUGAGGUUUCUCAAAUCCUCCGGGCUCCUUCAAAAAGAAGACCUUAUCGGCAGCGAUGGAAGUGAGUUUUCUAUUGCUGUUAAUUGUAUCUCUCCUUUUUGGCAUUAUUUCCACCGAGAAAAGAGAAAUUAGUAAUUAGAUAGAUUCCGUAUUUAUGCAAGGCUUCCAAGCUGAAAGAGCAAUGACAGAGUAACUUAAAAGUUCAUUUCUGAAAAUGAUACCAACUAAUAAGGCAACAUGGCUUGAAGGGGAUACCUCCAGAUGUUAUGCAAUAAAUAUAUACAAAAGCAAAUUGAGUGCUAUGCUGUUCAUAAAAGAACAACAAUCUUUUGAAUUUCUUUGCUCUUGGAAUACAAUCCAAAGGAACAN
rnacentral:lncRNA from 1 species